UAUAUAUAACACUGGAGUGACUUUCAUACGUCAAAGGGCUCAAGUUGGCGUGAGCGAACAAUGCACAAGUAGUUGUGCACACAGUUACAAAUAUACCAGCCAUAUCAAGUGAUCAAGAUAUAAUCGACUAUGGGCCAGAAUAUCUAGAUCUGCGGCAGCUGCUACAUAAAGUCGAUGAAUACUGCGAUGGAGGGAUGGAGGUACAUGGGGAGAUGCUCUCUAUCGCACAAAAAUCAUCCUCUUUAGAAAUAUUUGAAUAUCAUGGACCUUCACACGUGGACGGUGGAGUGACACACGAUGUCCAAUCAAAGGGUGAGCCUAUUUGCGAAAGUUGCUACGUAAAGCCGAAGAACACUGUGAUGGAGACGACUAUGACCAGGUGUCUGAGCUCUACCGAAACAAGCCAUUCCUUCUUCAAAAAGAUUCGUAGACAUCACGGUAACAUCAUGGUGCCGUUUGCUUAGUACGACGGAGGGGAUCCGCGCUGUCCAAUAAACGGGAGACUUAAUGGUCUCUUCUUUGGGGUGACGCUGUACAGGGGUGAUCUUCCAGACAUGUCGCCGUUUGACAGUCCCACUUGAUGAACUAUUUGAUGAUGCAGCAAACCUGUACUUUGCUGAUUUCUACUGCAAGCCUUCACGCAAACACACGCAUUACGUGACCUUGGAACUUACAGAUGCGGGAUCUGACGCAGACCGUUUCUGAAGGCGACACCUCAUCCAGUUCGAUUCGUACAACCAUUAUUUGCGGAAAGAUGUAUUUUCUGACACAUACAUGACACUGUACCAAUCUGAAGUGCAGGUGCAUAUACCUGUAUCAAAUACAUAUACAUGUAUAUCACUAUCGAGUAACCAUAUCUUGUUUGUUUCACCAUACGAUUGUAUACUUUCGUUUGUCCGGCAGUAUAUAUAUAUGUAAGUGUACAAGUAGGAAACUGCGGUUCGUACCUCCAGUAUGACGAUUUGUUCUACUCCUUCAAUGAGCAUACAUACGCCUCACAUAUAUUUGUGUUAAAUAUUAGAACAAUAUGA
rnacentral:misc_RNA from 1 species